rnacentral:rRNA from 1 species
UGAACGGCACCACGAGGGCUUUACUGUCUCCUCCCUUCAAUCAGUGAAACUGACCUCCCUGUGAAGAGGCAGGGAUACUACUAUAAGACGAGAAGACCCCAUGGAGCUUUAAACCCAACAACAGCCCAAACACCACCACCCCUAAUAGUUUUAACGGUAUUGCUAGUUGGUUUUAGGUUGGGGUGACCGCGGAGUAUAAACUAUCCUCCACGACGAACGGGCCUACCCCCUUACCCAAGAGCUACACCUCUGAGGAUUAACACAUUAACGUAAAAUGAUCCAAAUAUUUGAUCAACGAACCAAGUUACCCUGGGGAUAACAGCGCAAUCCAUUUUUAGAGCCCCUAUCGACAAAUGGGUUUACGACCUCGAUGUUGGAUCAGGGUAUCCAGGAGGUG